rnacentral:lncRNA from 1 species
AUUGAAUCUCUUAGGUUUGAAUGGGGAAACUGUGAUUGCUUGCCAGUGACAGGAACCACUCAAGUGAGCUCAGGGAAAGGGCAUGGUCUCCUGGGAUCCAGAGAGCGCUAGGCAACAAGAGUUUCCUCUUCCUGUCUGGCCACACCCAACCUGCCAUGGGAUGCCUUCCACAUAGACCAGCACCCUCUGCAGCUGUCCCACUCUCCCCGCCCAGGGUCACCAUCUCAGGGCAACAUGAAGAAAUUAUCACAAAUAAUGAACACAACCUCAACGUAAAACUUUCAGAGACAAAAAUCAUUGAAAAACUAAGGAGACGUGGAGGAGAAGAUGUAAGUGAGUUAUACUUAUAUCUAUAUGAAAUACCUUACCUUGCCUUGCGAUUUUGUUGUGUUCAUGUUUUGAAACGUAAGUAUUUCACCUAUCUCAGAUUAUUAGCUGUGAAUACAAACCAGGGCUAAAUGCCAAACAGAG